UGGGGAAUAUUGCACAAUGGGCGCAAUCCUGAUGCAGCCAUGCCGCGUGUAUGAAGAAGGCCUUCUGGUUGUCAAGUACUUUCAGCGGGGAGGAAGGGAGUAAAGUUAAUACCUUUGCUUAUUGACGUUUCCCGCAGAAGAAGCACCGGCUAACUCCGUGCCAGCAGCCGCGGUAAUACGGAGGGUGCAAGCGUUAAUCGGAAUUACUGGUCGUAAAGCGCACGCAGGCGGUUUGUUAAGUCAGAUGUGAAAUCCCCGGGCUCAACCUGGGAACUGCAUCUGAUACUGGCAAGCUUGAGUCUCGUAGAGGGGGGUAGAAUUCCAGGUGUAGCAGUGAAAUGCGUAGAGAUCUGGCGGAAUACCGGUGGCGAAGGCGGCCCCCUGGACGAAGACUGACGCUCAGGUGCGAAAGCGGGGGGAGCAAACAGG
rnacentral:rRNA from 1 species